rnacentral:rRNA from 1 species
AGUAUAAGCAAUUAUACCGUGAAACUGCGAAUGGCUCAUUAAAUCAGUUAUCGUUUAUUUGAUAGUACCUUACUACUUGGAUAACCGUGGUAAUUCUAGAGCUAAUACAUGCUAAAAACCCCGACUUCGGAAGGGGUGUAUUUAUUAGAUAAAAAACCAACGCCCUUCGGGGCUUCUUGGUGAUUCAUGAUAACUUUACGGAUCGCAUGGCCUUGCGCCGGCGACGGUUCAUUCAAAUUUCUGCCCUAUCAACUUUCGAUGGUAAGGUAUUGGCUUACCAUGGUUUCAACGGGUAACGGGGAAUUAGGGUUCGAUUCCGGAGAGGGAGCCUGAGAAACGGCUACCACAUCCAAGGAAGGCAGCAGGCGCGCAAAUUACCCAAUCCCGACACGGGGAGGUAGUGACAAUAAAUACUGAUACAGGGCUCUUUUGGGUCUUGUAAUUGGAAUGAGUACAAUUUAAACCUCUUAACGAGGAACAAUUGGAGGGCAAGUCUGGUGCCAGCAGCCGCGGUAAUUCCAGCUCCAAUAGCGUAUAUUAAAGUUGUUGCAGUUAAAAAGCUCGUAGUUGAAACUUGGGUCUGGCUGGCAGGUCCGCCUCACCGCGUGUACUUGUCCGGCCGGGCCUUCCUUCUGGAGAACCUCAUGCCCUUCACUGGGCGUGUUGGGGACCAGGACUUUUACUUUGAAAAAAUUAGAGUGUUCAAAGCAGGCCUUUGCUCGAAUACGUUAGCAUGGAAUAAUAGAAUAGGACGUGCGGUCCUAUUUUGUUGGUUUCUAGGACCGCCGUAAUGAUUAAUAGGGACAGUCGGGGGCAUCAGUAUUCAAUUGUCAGAGGUGAAAUUCUUGGAUUUAUUGAAGACUAACUACUGCGAAAGCAUUUGCCAAGGAUGUUUUCAUUAAUCAGUGAACGAAAGUUAGGGGAUCGAAGACGAUCAGAUACCGUCGUAGUCUUAACCGUAAACUAUGCCGACUAGGGAUCGGGCGAUGUUCUUUUUCUGACUCGCUCGGCACCUUACGAGAAAUCAAAGUUUUUGGGUUCUGGGGGGAGUAUGGUCGCAAGGCUGAAACUUAAAGAAAAUUG